UGCCUACGGGAGGCAGCAGUGGGGAAUAUUGGGCAAUGGGCGCAAGCCUGACCCAGCAACGCCGCGUGAAGGAAGAAGGCUUUCGGGUUGUAAACUUCUUUUGACAGGGAAGAGCAGAAGACGGUACCUGUCGAAUAAGCCACGGCUAACUACGUGCCAGCAGCCGCGGUAAUACGUAGGGGGCAAGCGUUAUCCGGAUUUACUGGGUGUAAAGGGAGCGUAGACGGUUGUGCAAGUCUGAAGUGAAAGCCCGCGGCUCAACCCCGGGACUGCAUUGGGAACUGCCCAGCUCGAGUGCCGGAGGG
rnacentral:rRNA from 1 species